AGAGCUAUCGCCAAGCGGUUUAAGGCAGUUGUCUUUGAAGCAGCCAUUCAUAGGUUCAAAUCCUAUUAGUUCUA
rnacentral:tRNA from 1 species